UCUCUGAUAGUAUAUCGGUUAGUACACGCGCCUGUCAUCACUCAUAGAGAAGGUAGCGCGCGAAAGCUGGGUUCGACUCCCAGUCAGAGAG